rnacentral:lncRNA from 1 species
UCCAAACUUAGCAAAUUUAAUAUGUGCAGUAUAUUGUAUGCCAAUUACAUCUCACUUUUAAAAAUUAAAAAAUACACCAGUAGCUUCCAAUAUUCAGUCUCAGAGAAAGUCUUAGACCAAAUCUCACAACACAUUCAUCCUUUUAUUAGUAAGCAGAUGCAAAAACAGUCUUUCAGCCUGUUCCAUAAAUGUGAUGAAGUCCCAGGUGUCUGUCCAUUUAGAUGCUCCAACAGCCGCUGUCGGGAAAGUUCACUGGAGGCCACAUCCUCGCUCGCAUCAGGAUUGGCCAACCUUCGGGCUGGGGUCGGCAGAGAUGGAAUCUUCUGGGGCAGCCUCUAAACACAGGGUAUUUCGUUAAUCAAGUCUGGGGCAGUAUUCUUACAGGUCUUGUUACUGGGCUGUCUAGAUUCUAACACCCUGUUCCUGGAGGGGCAAGAAUGCCUCGCUGGCCAGUCCACGAAUCUUAGACGGCAAUGAAUUCACCAGUGAAAGAGUGUUAGUAACCGGUAUUGUGUUAACCAUCAAAGUCUGGUUCUGAUUGGAGGCAAAGAGAACUGAAGCCUGGAGAUCCUGCUUCUGGAGCGCGGCUUUUUGACUCUAGUCUUUGAAAUGGCAGCUAAUCACCCUCAGUGCAACCAUCCUAAUCUGGGCAACCGGCUCCUACUAGAGCCUCAAUGAAAACUAACGCUCUCAUUCACACCGCAGUGCCCACGCCGAUGUGUCUCGAAGUAAACUACCCAUGAUACAAUAACCAUUCCAAGUUUGUCUCUCUUUUUUCCCAUUCUUUCUGAAAACGUCUCGGCAAAAACAAAGGAAAACAUCACUAUACCCAUCCCCAUUCUUUGCACCAAAACAGAGAUUAAAAAGACAUUUGAAAAGCACUUUGAAAAACUAAGGUUCUACUGGCGCCCACAUGGUAGCAUAGCUGUUAAGUGUACACGUUCCACUUCGGGGCUCAGGGUUCACCGGUUCAGAUCCCGGGUGCAGACAUGGCACCACUUGCAAGCCAUGCUGUAGUAGGCGUCCCACAUAUAAAGUAGAGGAAGAUGGGCACGGGUGUUAGCCCAGGGCCAGCCUUCCUCAGCAAAAAGAGGAGGAUUGGCAGCAGAUGUUAGUUCAGGGCUAAUCUUCCUCAAAAAAUAAAAAAGUAGGUUCUACUAAAUCCAUUUAAAACAAAGGUAGUUGGAGAAAUUGUAGCCCUUGUACACUGUUGGUGGGAGUAUAAAAUUAUGCAGCUGCUGUGGAACACAGUAGGGCAUUUCUUCAAAAAAUUAAAAAUAGAAUUACCAUAUGAUCCAGGAAUUCUACUUCUGGAGAACUGAAAGCAGGCACUCCAAGAGAUAUUAGUACACCUAUGGUCAUAGCAGGAUUAUCUGCUGUAGUCAAAAGGUGGAAGCAACUGAAGUCCAUCCAUCACAGGACGAAUGGAUAAACAAACGUGGUAUGUCCAUACAAUGGAAUAUUACUCAGCCCUGAAAAGGAAGGAAAUUCUGACACAUGCUACAACGUGGAGGAACCUUGAGGACAUAAUGCUAAUUCAUAUAAGCCAGUAAUAAAUAUUAUAUGACUCCACUUACAUGAAAUAUCUAGAAUACUUGAAUUGAUCAAGACCGAAAAUAGAAUGGUGGUUGCCAGGAGCUGAGAGUAAAGCAAGGGGGUAGAAUGGAGAGUUAUUGAUAAAUGGGUAGACUUUCGGUUUGGGAAGAUGAAAAAGUUCUGGAAAUGGAUAGUAGCGAUGGUAGUUCAACAACAUGAAUGUACUUAAUGCCAAUGAGCUGACCACUUAAAAAUGGUUAAGAUGGUAAAUUCUAUGUUAUGCGUAUUUUACCACAAUUUCUUAAAAAUCUAAAGCUUUUCGAAAAACAAAAGUAGUGAUUCCUAUCCCUCGUCCACUCAAACCAACGCUUAAUUAACUUCGAUUUUUAGAAGCAGUUUUAAUUUUAACCGAUUAUAGCGAUAAUCCAUUUCCAUUGUAAGAAAUAUGGAAAAGGAGAAAAAUAUUGCUAAAGGAUAAUUUUUAGAGAAAUGUGAAAUCAUGACUCUCACACAAAUAUAAAAUGAACACGUGUCAAAGAUUUUAUGUAACUCAUUAUUAAUAAGGGAACCAGAACAGUGUCAUGACUAAUUCAAAGGAGAAUGCAAAGAACACAGAGACAUCUCCAGGCAAACAGGCACGCUAAAAUGAGUUUACAGAUCAAUGUCAGUUCCUCAGUACCCACUGGGCAAAAUCCUUUACAUUCUCCUGACACCGACUCAUUUGCAUUUCUGUGGACAAAAAUCAUUGGCAAUACUAGGUUUUCCACAAUUUGCAGAGUUGUAAAAUAGUUCAAAGACAAAGCCACAGGAUCCUCUGCAGUUAGAUAAACCUGAAAAGUGUGCUAGACAGGACACCCAGUAACACCCUCUCUUUUUGUCUGCUUAAGUCUUCUAUUUGGCUGAAAAAAGUAAAAUAAAAUCCUCUGUAACUCACUUUGAUUCUUUUUGAGUUUGGUAAAUUUUUUUCUUCAUUGCUCCUUCCUUCCUUUCUUCCUUCCUUCCUCCCUUCCUCUCUUCCUCCCUUCCUUUUCUUUCUUUUCUUUUUUUUUUUUUUUUGGUAAGGAAGAUUGGCCCUGAGCUAACAUCUGUUUCCAAUCUUCCUCUAUUUUCAUUCUCCCCAAAGCCCUAGUACAUAUUUGUAGGUCAUUCUAGUUCUUCUAUGUGGGACGCCGUCACAGCAUGACCUGAUGAACAGUGCUAGGACCGCGCAGGGGACGUGGAACCGGGGGCCCCACGUUCUGGAAGCCCUACGUGAUCUUAACCACUGGGCCGGCCCCAACUUUGAUUCUUUCGAGUCAAAUUUAAUCGGGAGUAUGGAACCUUAUUAAGCACACUAAGCAAGGUUUAUUAAACAAAUUAAACAAAAGCAACAUUCU